GUUAAUACUAUCAAAGUCCAUUUUUAGAAUAACCACACAUUUAUAUGGGGUAAUUAUUAUAAUUUAUAAUAGUAGCUACUAAAUACACUGAUGUACCUACAAAAUUAAUCCUAAGUUCUUAUGAUAGAAAAUUUAUAAAUAACUGUGUAAAAAUUAGGAUAAGGACAAUAAUAUUAUUCAAAAAUUCACUGGUUUAACUCGGAGAACCUCUACUGAAACUAUUAGGACAUCCGCAUUAGCUUUAUUUUAUUAGACUGCAGAGUAUGCUACGUUUGCCUAAAAAACUAAACCCUACUAUAUGUAUUAUUAUAGGUGCUGUAAAAGCUACUACUAAUCAUUGACUCCCUGUGCUAUCUAAAAUCCUUCCAUCUAGUAUCUGAUGCUCAAUGGCUACUACAAGAUAAUGGUCGAAGUAUACGCACAACCCAUGAAGAUAUUCUUACAAAUUGUGCUUUGAGACUUAAGUCAAAGUAGUCUACCUGCCCCACAGCCGAGGGUUAAAUUGAAAACCAGUUCAGUGGAUGGAAAAAUUAAAGUCUAUUAAACCCUGAUAGACACCAACUGAUCAAUGAUUCAUGCUCCCAAGUAUAUGUUUUCACACUAAAACAAAGAUAAUGGAUCACCUUAAAUUAAAUCCAAUAUGGACAUGGUAGAUAAGAUGUGGAAAAGUGCUAUUCAAAUGGAACAUAAAAAACUCUCCAGCUUAUGACUGUCACCAUCCAUCUCAAACAAUGGAGCAUAUCAUAAAUUCAAUUAUUUUGUGAUUUCAAUAAAUCAAUGAAAAAAAUUCAAUGCCUCGAAUGUGGCACUAACAUGGAGUGAAUCACUGAACAUUACUCUAUGGAAAAGUUAACACAUUACCUUGAUACAGAUGUUACCAUUUUAUGAAUAUUUUAAUUAUUAUGUUUUUGACUAAUUUUAUGUUAUUUUAUUAAUGUUUAUAUAAUUUUAAAUAUUUUAUUGAGUU